rnacentral:rRNA from 1 species
UACGUAGGUGGCAAGCGUUGUCCGGAAUUAUUGGGCGUAAAGCGCGCGCAGGCGGUCCUUUAAGUCUGAUGUGAAAGCCCAUGGCUCAACCGUGGAGGGUCAUUGGAAACUGGGGGACUUGAGUGCAGGAGAGAAGAGUGGAAUUCCACGUGUAGCGGUGAAAUGCGUAGAUAUCUGGAGGAACACCGGUGGCGAAGGCGGCAUCCUGGACCAACACUGACGCUGAGGAGCGAAAGCCAGGGGAGCAAACGGG